UUUCACAAUAAAACAGACAGGUACAGUGGGACAGUGAGCAGGCGUCAUCAUAGUGAGCAGAGCAUCCUCAGCCGUUACCAGGGCAACAGAGCACAGAACCACCCUGGGGUAAGUGUGACUCUGAGGGGGCACCUGUGUGCGUUCUGUUGUCAUGACGACGAGAUCAAAGCAUUAUUUAUCUUUUUAAUAUCUGCUGUGGAACUGGAUGAUGAAGUGUUAUAUAGCAUUGUUUUAGUUUUCAUAUAGUUUAAAUAAGUUGAUAUUAUAUAGAGAUUUAGUAUAUAAUUUUUGUAUUGUUUUUUUUUUUUCUUUUUUUGAAGAAAUCUAAUGUCUAACAAAUGUAACAAACUACCAAAUUAGUAGAAAAAGUCUUAUCUUACAGAAUCUUCUUUUUAAUGUCUUUACACUGUAAGAAGAGUUCCUAAAAAUAAUAAUACUAUAUUAUUUUUAAUAAUAUCGAAAAUUUAAUAAGUAAUUUGCCAUAUCGAUUUUUCACAGUUUUUUUAUUUUACUAAUAUUUUGAAUUAUGCAUUGCAUUGUGUUUUAGGGUAAAAGGGAAUGUCUGUAAAUUCGUGCAAUUACAAAUUACCAGUACAGAUUUUUUUCUUAGUUUAGAUUUUUAUUUUAUUUUAUUUUAUUACUUAACUUUAAGAUUUUAUAUAAUGUUCAUUAAGUAGUUCUUAUGAUGUCUUCAAAACUAGCUAUGAAUAAAGUAAUAAAAUGAGUAAGAAUUGUUCAUUCAAAGCUUAAGAAAAUUCUAUGAAGUCUUGAAUUAUUUUAGAGAAGAAAAAAAAAGAAAAAUUGUUGUCAUUUUAAAUGAAUGUGGAGAGCAGCUCAGAUCAUUUGGUCUUGAGUUCAUAUUAACUCUGUGAUUUUUAAUUUGCACACUGAAGCACAUUUUGAGACCUUGAUGCAAUCUCAUUUUAAACACUUUUUAAACUAGAUGGGGGACAUAUGAGUUUACCAAUCAUUUUCUUUGACACAAAAUCUGAGAAGCAAGAAACUCUCCAGUGAAUCUCAUGUAUUUGAGAAGAGGGUCUGAGAAGCACAGCUGGCAUCUCAUAGUCUGGUGUAGAUCUUGAUGUGUGUAUGAGAGCAGUAGUUCAACAGUGAUGAUAUACUCCACUAUUUUCUCAUCAGAGAACCAUUUCUCUCUCUUGCUCCAGUAGAUCCAGUAAGUGGUUUCUGGCCUGACUGGGCAUAUUUGGUCUAAAAAUAGGCCAAGAAAAGCAGUUCUGUCCCAAACCACAGGCCUGCUUUAGUUCAGUUGACUAUUUAUGUCACACUUUAGCUUAUAGAUCACUUCUGUACACAUACAAACCCACUGUGUCCAUCACAAGAGAGUCUAAGUGCUGUUUACCUGUCUCUGGCAUGGUGAGGUUUUGGUGGUUUCUGCUGACGCUGAAGAUGUUAUAUUUGCUGUGUGUGUCAUUGAGU
rnacentral:lncRNA from 12 species